GCUUUCAUGUCCUUGCAUUUGUUGCAAUAAUUGUCUUAUGUAGAAGCGAGAAAUCAUGUAUAACCAUUUGUUGGACAAUGGGAUAGCUAGAAAUUAUGUGCGAUGGUUGAUGCAUGGGGAAUAUGAGUUUUGUGAACCUACAAAUACUAUUACUAAUGAGUCUCCUAUGCAUGAUGAGAUGCAAGAAAUGUUAAAUGAUGCAUUUGGAAUGUCAAUGUCAAAUGAGGAAUCUAAAAGAAGUCCACAUGUGCAUGAGGAGUUUGAAAAACCAAAUGAGGAUGUAAACAAAUUUUAUAAUUUGUUAAGAGAAGCAGAGCAGGAACUAUAUCUAGGGUGUAAAAAAUUCACAAAGUUGUCUUUUAUCAUAAGAUUAUUUCAUAUGAAGUGUCUUAAUGGAUGGAGCAAUAAGUCCUUUACAAUGUUGCUUGAAUUGUUGAAGGAGACACUUCUUGAGGGUGAGACUUUGCCAAGCAACUAUUAUGAAGCAAAAAAAAAAAAAAAAAAAAAAAACUUCAUGACCUUGGUCUUCAUUAUAUCAAGAUUGAUGCAUGCCUCUCAUAUUGCAUGUUGUAUUCAAAAGAGCAUGCAAAUGCAAAUGAGUGUGUUGUUUGUGGUGUCUCUAGAUGGAAAUCAAGUGAUGAUCAUUCUAUAGAUGCGUUCACUAAUUCAGUAAAGAAAGAGAAAAUUCCUACUAAGGUCUUGUGUUAUUUUCCUUUAAAACCAAGGCUUCAAAGGUUUAUAUGUCAUAUAAGACAGCUUUUCACAUGAAAUGGCAUGUUGAUGGUUGCAUGGAAGGUGAGAUGAUGAGGCAUCCAGUGGACUCUUUGGCUUGGAAAAACUUCGAUAACGUACACCCUUCAUUUGAACUAGAACCUCGAAAUGUUAGGCUCAGUUUAGAAAGUGAUGGGUUCAAUCCUUUUGGGAAUAUGUCAAUUUCAUACAGCAUGUGGCCUGUGGUUCUUAUUCCAUAUAACUUACCACCUUUGAUGUGUAUGAAACAUGCAUUCUUCAUGUUGUCACUACUUAUUCUUGGUCCAACUACACCUGGGAAUGACAUUGACAUAUACUUACAACCAUUGAUAGAUGAGUUGAAUGACUUUAUGGGACGUUGGAGUUGAAACAUAUGAUGCUUCAGCAAAACAAAUUUUUUGUAUGUGUGCAGCUAUAUUAUGGACCAUCAAUGAUUUUCCUGCAUAUGAAAAUCUUUUAGGUUGGAGUACUAAAGGGAAUUUUGCUUGUCUUAUUGGUAAUAAGGAUUGUUCUUUAUUUCAAUUACAAAACGUACGAAAAUGGUGUUAUAUGGGUCAUCGUCGAUUUUUGCCGAUUGAUCAUAUAUUUCGACGUGAUAAAAAGUCCUUUGAUGGAAAGGAAGAGCAUAGAGCAGCACCUAAACAAUUGUCUAAGGAAGAUGUUCUACAUCAGUUAUAUGGAAUGGAACAUAUUACUUUAGGGAAGACAUAAAAAAUAAGAUGUCAACAAAAAGAAAAAGAGAACAUGUUGAACUUGAGCACAAUUGGAAAACCCUCAUUUUGCGUCACAAUUUAGAUGUAAUGCAUAUUGAAAAGAAUAUAUGUGACAGUAUAGUUGGCACCUUGUUGAGUAUUGAUGGUAAAUCGAAGGAUAACUUCAAUAGUUGUCUUGACUUGCUAGCUAUGGGUAUUAGAGAUCAAAUUCACCCCAUACAAAGAGGGAAUAAGGUUAUAUUGCCUGCUGCAUGCUAUUCACUAACUUCAAAUGAAAAAAAAGGAAUUUUUUAAAUUUUUGAAAGAAGUAAAGGUUCCAGAGGGUUAUGCUUAUAACAUUUCUCGGAGUCUGCAAGUGAAUGAAAGAAAGAUAUUUGGAUUGAAGUCUCAUGAUUUUCAUGUUCUCAUGCAACAGUUUCUUCCACUUGCAAUUCGAGGAGUUCUACAUAAGAAUGUUUGUGCUAUUAUAGUUGAACUAUAUAGUUUCUUCAAACAAUUGUGCUCUAAAGUUUUAAAGACUAAUCAAUUGGAGCACCUUGAGAAUGACAUAAUAGUCACACUUUGCAAAUUAGAAAAAAUAUUUCUUCCAUCAUUCUUUGAUGUUAUGGUGCAUUUACCUAUUCAUCUUACAAGUGAGGCAAAGGUCGUUGGACCGGUGCAAUAUCGAUGGAUGUAUCCUAUCGAGCGGUAUGUUCUCAUUCAAUUAAUCUUAUGUAUAUUAGGUUUCAUAUAGUUCAUGAAACAAAUCUAUCAUGUUGUGGAAUGACAGGUAUUUACGUACAUUAAAGUCUUAUGUCUGUAAUAAGAGUCGUUUAGAAGGUUCUAUUGCAAAGGGUACAUAGCAGAAGAAUGUACAACCUUUUGUUCAAUAUAUUUGUAUGAUGUUGAAAUGAAGCAUGACCGUGAAGGAAGAAAUUGUGUCAUUGAAAAUAACAUAACAAAUGGAGGGUUAACCAUUUUCAAAUUCAUGGGACGUACAAUAGGAAAGUCAACAUCUCGUGUUCUUAGCAUAGAAGAAUGGUCCUAAGCACAUUUAUAUGUGUUGACUAGUUGUGAGAAAAUGACGCCAUUUAUUGAGUAAGACAUUUGAAUAAAACUUUAUACUAAUUCUCAUGCAAAAAUUUAAUUUUGGUCUUUGUGAGCAUUAUAAUUAAUUUUAUCUUUUUUAUCAAAGAGCAUAAGCAAUCUAUAAGGAUUAAGCCUCGUAUUCGUGCACGAGAUGUAGAUUUGAUUCACAUAAGAGAAUUCAUUAGUUGGUUUGAAGAACGUGUAAGUUCAUUCACUACAUAAAUUGUUAUAUUAUCUAAUACACAUGUAUGUAUUAACAUCUUAUAUUUGAAUCUAUAGAUUAUACAAAUGCGACAUGAAGGUCCAAUUUCUAAACACAUACUAUCAUUGUCUCGUGGACCAAGUACAUCAGUUACAUGUUAUAGGGAUACAUCAUUAAUGGGUUCAAAUUUCACGCAAGAGAAUGAGAAAAUGGAAAAAGAAAUCAAAAUAGUGGAGUUGUUGUGACCAUAGAGGUGUCAAGCUUUGCAAGUGCAAUAGAUAAGAACCCAAUUCCUAGUCAUGUUUCUUACUAUGGUGUGCUAACUGAUGUAAUUGAGUUACAUUACCUUAGUGGAAAUAGAGUUAUUUUAUUCGAGUGUGACUGGUGGGAUGUAAUCAAUAGUGGAAGGGGAAUAAAGAAUGAUGAAUAUGGGUUCACGUGUUUGAAUAUUGAAUGUACCAUAUGCACAGAUGAACCAUUUGUGCUUGCAUCUCAAGCAAAACAAGUCUUUUAUGUUCAAAAUUCAAAUGAGGAAAAUUGGCACACCGUUGUAGAGAUACAAACUCAAAGGGUUUAUGAUAUGAAUCAGAAAGUAACUACUAAUGAUCCAGAGCCAUAUCAAUAGCUUAUAACACUUCAUAGUCAACGUGAUGUGUAUGAGUUAGUCGAGAAUGAUUUAAUCAAUUGGGAUAGAAAUGAUAUUGUAGGAGAAACUAUCCAAACAGAUGUUCUACUAUCACGACAAGAAAACAUUAUUGAAAAAGAUAAUGAAUUUAUUCAUGAUGAUGAUAUAGAUGAUGUGUAGCUAAUAAUAUUAGUAAAUACAUAAAUAUAUACUUACUAGAUAUACAAAUUGUAAUUUAUUUCAUAUUAUUUAUGUAACUUAUUUUGUAUUACUUUUUCUAAUUUACUUUAUUAUGUAGGAAAUGUCACAUUGAAUAGGAAGAGUACAAAUAGUGUGUCUAGAAGAUGAGUUAGACAAUCUAUAACAACUCUCAGACAUACAACCUGCUGCAACUACUACUUCUAGUAGUUCUAGUCCUUCUGAUUCUUUAGAUCCUUCUGUUGUUGGUAUGAUUAAGAAGAUUAUGUUUAACUUUACAUAUGAUAAAUGAGGUUUAAUUUCUUGAAUGAUAGGUUUUUAAUGUUUAAUUUUAUAUAAGAUAAGUAAAUUAUGUUUCUUUUAAUUUCAUUAUUACUCUUAAUAGGUUCCUCCUCUAGCAAAAAGAGGACACGUGACCCAAGACGUAACUUAGAGAUUUACUUAGUAUUAAACCCGGGGAAAAAAAAACUACACGAUUCAAUACCAGAGGGCAAGUUGUUUAUGAUGAAAAAGGGGAAAAAUUGUCAAGCUAUAUGGGAGCAUUGGUGCGAUCUCAACACAAUGUACCCAUCCAAGUUCAAGAUUGGAAUCAUGUUAGUGAAGAUGUGAAGGAAAAGAUUUGGGCCUUAGUAUUGGUAUAUGCUAGUUACUAUUCAAUCUAAAUUGAAAUGUUAUUGUCUAAAAAUGAUACCUCUUAUUUAUACAUGACAUUUUAAUGCAAUAUAGAAAGAAUAUGAACUAGAAGAAACAUGUAAGAGCUACAUUCUUCAAUGUUGUGGAAAUUUGUUUAGAAGCUAUAGAAAUAAAAUGAAGGCCAAGUAUUAUAACCCUUAUAAUACAGAUGAGGAGAGAUUGAGGCAUCGACCUCCACACUUAUCAAAUGAUGAUUGGAGGUGGCUCAUCCACUUUUGGGGCACACUUGAGGCCAAGGUAAAGAUAAUGAUUUUUUCUUGAUAAUGUAUCUUAUGAUACUCAUAUUCACAUAAAAUGAUAUUUAUUAGUUAUAUCUAACCUAAUACUUCAUAUAUGUAACUUUUAUUAUGUUUCUAUUACCUAUAUAGGUGACUUUCUAUUUUUUAAUUGAUGUAGGAUAUCUCAGAAAAAAAAAAAAGGCAAAUAAGGUAAAGCAAGUGAUAUAGCAUUCAUCGGGAUAAAAAAGUUAUGCUCAAAUUUGAUAUGAACAGGUUAGAAAUUUAUUAUUAAUAUGAUUUGUUUGUACAUAAAUAAUUCAUCAUAAAUAACUCAAUUGUUUUGCUUGUAAGAAUAGACACAAAAGAAGGAGGAUCGAAGUCAGCCUAAUAGAAUUGAGAUGUUUGCCCUAACACAUACAAAAAAAAAAUGGGACGCCUGUUGAUGAUCAUUCUAAGGAGAUUAUGGUAAUGAAGUAAAUAAAUUUAUAUACUUGUAUUUCAAUCAUAGCCACAUACUAAAAUUAUUUUAAAAGUCUAACAAUUUUUUUUGUUUUUUAUAAUUCCAGGAUCAAUUUUAGUAAUUACUAUCCCAACCUGAGGGGACAUCUUCUUCUGCUUCUAUAUCAUCUAGAGCAUCUACAUCUGUAGCAUCUACAUCUGUAGAUGAGAUAUAUACUCAACUCAUGGGUCUAGAGAGGCAUGACCAUGUUCGAGGGUAUGAAUUUGGUCCUAUUCCUACCUCAGUCUUUGGUUUUACUAAUAGAAGGCGAUCAGGAGUUAUUCUUUCAACACAACUUGAAAAUCCCCAAGAGAUGCUAAUAGAUAUAGAACAAAAGUUUACAACUACAACUAAAACACUCUCAAAUGUGAAAGAGAAACUCUCACAUGUGAAAGAAACAUUUGAAGAGAGGUUGAUAGAAGUUCAAAGGAAGACAUGAGAAGAAGUGAAAGAAGAGUUUGAAGAAAAAAUUAUGGAAAUGCUAAGAAAAAUGCAAGCACAAAUUCAAGAACAGAUGAUGCAAAUGAUGCAACAAUUUUAGCAAAAGUAGUAGAAAUUUGAAGAUUUUGCUACAUCUUUAUAUGAUAAAUUCUCUUUUUUUUUUUUGAAGAUUAUGCUACUUAUUUAUAUGAUAGAUUUUCCUAACUUUUUUUUUGAAGAUUGUGAUGUUUGGUUGGUUGAUUUGUUAUAUUAUGUUAGAAUGUGAAACUAAAUUUGAAUUUCUUUGUUCUUUGUUUGUUUGCUUUUUUUUUUUUUUUUUUUGUUAUAUUAUGUUUUUGUUAUUUCAUGACUUAUAUUGACAUAUAAGUUUUUAACUAGCUUGGGAUAAUUGAUUGUAAUAUAUUGAACUAUAUUGAAAUUGUUUUAAUUGUUUAAUUGCAUAUAUAGGUCUAAAAUGAGUUUUUUUUAGGUUUAUAACAAGUUUGGGAAAUUUGAAUUUAUAAAAGACCAAUGUCUAAAUAUAACAAAUUUUAGUCACGACCACUAAAAAAUUGUGACCAAAAGUGUACUUUUAGUCACAAUCAAUAAUGAACCAUCAUAAAAAGUUGGGGAUAGGCAAACAUUAUAUGAUUAAUUUUAGUCAUAGUCAUUAAUAGUCAUGACCAUAAGUGUACAUUUUGUCAUAAUAGACCUAACAAUUAGUCACAGUCACUUAAUUAAUCGUGACCAUAUACCUACAUUUAGUCACGAUUAAUGAAUUAACUGUGACCAUAAGAUUACAUUUAAUCACAAUCAUUUAAUUAACCGUGACUAUAGACAUACAUUUAGUCAUGAUUAAGGAUUGAUCGUAACCAUAAGUUUACAUUAAUCCAUAAGUUGACAUUUAGUCACGGUAACUUACUUGACCAUGACCAUAAGCUUACAUAUUGUCACGAUCACUAACUUUACCCGUGACUAUAAGUGUACAUUUAGUCACAAUUUAUUACUUGACCAUAACUAUAGGUUAAACAUAUAGUCACAAUUUAUUACCUGACUGUGACUAAAUCAACUAAUAAACAAUAAAAUAUUUCUAACUUUUGGUCACAAUUUUUGUAUGGCCAUCACAAAAAAAGAAAUCAUAUGAUCACGAUCACUUAGGAAACUGUGACCAAUACCUUUAGCUACGUCUCGUACUGUGAAGCUUGGUCACGGUUUCAUAAGACCGUGACAAUAGGUUUUGGUCACGGAUAUAUUAAGAUUUGGUGAUGGUUGGGGACCGUCACCUAAAAUCCUAUUUCUUGUAGUGUAAAGAUAUUUAUAAUGGAAGCCCAUUUCAGAUUGCUUGGCCCUUUCAUGCAGUAGGUAAAAGUCAUCUAAGUGCUGUGUUACUGUGCUGUCAUUUUGCUUAAUCCGUUUAGUUUUGGUUCUUGACUUUGCAUAAUUUCAGAUUUUAUUUAGUUCAGAAUUGAUUUGGCUUAUGUUCAAUCCUUCAGAUGUGUGUAAAUCCAAUGUUUUAACACUAGAGAUUAUUGCUAUUUAGAGAGCAAUCUUUUUGGAAAGUUUUGAAAGACAACAAACAGUGCCUUUCUCAAAGAAAAAUGCUUUCCUGAGGAGAUUAUUAUGUAAUUAUCAGCAAUGGUGAUUGUUUAAAGAUGAAAGUGAGGGAUUGUGUUGAGCCUGGUCCAAAAUCCUCACAUGAUUCCUAAAUAGGCUGAUUCCCAUGCUCUGUUUUUUGUUUCCUGGGUUGCAAAAACCCCAAAUCUUCAAGAUCUGAAGGUGCUAUGUCUGGAAACCUGGUUAAUCAAAUGUCACCAAGUCAAGGAUGCAUGUCUAGAACGAAUAUUUUCUGGUUUUCAAGAAAGCUGGAUUGGUAGAUAUUGCAGCUUUCAACUUUGCCAGUGUACUAUCCGCCACUUGACUGCAGCCCAGUGGACUUGUCCAUCCUAGCAGCAGAAUAAAGGGGAUCCUUCCUCAUGCGUGAUCAGAUGCCUCGGUCGAUCAAUCACAGCUCAAAUAUGUUUAGUAUAAAGGUGGAGCUUCGAACUCGCGACAUCCUAAAAAACCUAUGUGUUCAAAGCACUAUGAGGGUCAAAUUAAAUAAGAAUUCUAAAAUUCAUGGAUGGAAGCUUCACAUAAGCACAUUAUGCUAAUUGUAAAAAAGCAAAUAUAUUCUUAAUGGAGAAGUAUUAGACAAUUUUCUCAUUCUAAUGCUUUUGGGAGAAAGGAAAGAAAAAAGAAGGAAGAAAAUAAAAAAGAAAAAGUAAAAAGAGAAAGUGGAGAUUGGCCUGGCCAAAACACUGGAAUUAAUGCAAGUGGCAGGAAGAGAAUCGAUGCCCACCACUACACUGUGAAACAAGACAAAAGACAAUCACGUAAUAGGAAAUGAGGCACGAGGAAAAAGUACUUUCUAUAUAUAAUCUUCAAAAUUGAAUGCCUCAGCAGCACCUACUCCACUAGCGUUGAUAACUUUUUCUAGCUUAUUUCAUCCUUCUACCCCUCCAUUCUCAUGUCUCUGCGGAAGAGUAUGGUUAACAGAGGUCUCCUCAUUCUCACCUGCUUCUUCUCAUUCGUGAUUCAGCUAUGCUUGGCUUCAAAGACCAGGCACUUCAAAUGGGAAGUGGAGUACAUGUACUGGUCACCAGAUUGUAUGGAGGGUGUCGUGAUGGGAAUCAAUGGGCAGUUCCCAGGGCCAACUAUCCGGGCUGUUGCAGGAGAUACUAUUGUAGUUGAGCUCACAAACAGGCUUCACACUGAGGGUGUCGUCAUUCAUUGGCAUGGAAUCAGACAGGUUUUGGUUUUCGUCUAUUUUGCAUUCGAUAUUAUAUUCUUAUCCAUUAACUCAUGAUUCAAACUUUUGAGCGAAAUUCCACAGUUCGGAACUCCAUGGGCAGAUGGGACUGCAUCCAUCUCACAAUGUGCCAUUAAUCCUGGAGAGACCUUCAUCUACAGAUACAAAGUUGAUAAGGUAAAGUCAGUGUCUUAUGGCCUCUCUCUCAUAUAUUAUUGACCUGCUCCACUUGAUGGAUUAUUUUCAGAGGACCCCAGCACUUCUUGAUUGGUCAGUUUCUUGUAGUGGCCGCUUAAGCCAUGCUCUUACAAAGUUGUGAAAUGUUAUGGUGCAGGCUGGCACAUACUUUUACCAUGGACACUACGGAAUGCAAAGAUCUGCUGGACUGUAUGGAUCUCUGGUAGUAGAGGUUGGUGAAGGUCAAAAGGAACCUUUCCAUUACGAUGGGGAGUUCAAUCUGUUGUUGAGUGAUUGGUGGCAUAAGGGAAGUCAAGAGCAAGAAGUGGCCCUCUCGUCCAAACCAUUUCGUUGGAUUGGCGAACCCCAGGUAACCGUCAAUCUCUUCUUGUCCCUAUUUUCUACGCCUCUACGGUCAAUUUCAAAACGGUCGUUUUUCAGUAUGGAGUAGUUGGUAUUUGGUGAAACCCUUGUCUUGUUGACUACGUUUUGAAAUUAUUAAGCACCAAAAAACUGGGGGAAAAAGUCAAAACAAGAGGAAGUCUUGGUUGUCCAUUAAUCAUUAAUUCUGUGGAAUAUUGUUUUCAGACUCUGCUCAUCAACGGAAGAGGCCAGUACAAUUGCUCUCUAGCCGCCCACGUUACCAACUCCUCCUCUCCCCAGUGCCAAUUCCGUGGAAAUGAACAAUGUUCACCCCAGAUCCUCCAUGUGCAGCCCCAUAAAACUUACAGGCUCAGGGUCUCCAGCACCACCGCACUCGCUUCACUGAAUUUGCAAAUUGGGGUACUAACCAUAUCACUCUAUUUUCUCCCUUCUGUCAACUUUUCUUUAUGAAUCUAUGCCUCAAGUGAUAAGAUAUUCUGAUUGCAAUUGGGUGGUUGACACGUAACAAAUAAAGAAUGAAAGAACCACCCUAUUGGCCCUUGGGGGGACUGCCUACACAUAUUAUACUAUUUUAGGAAGAUAGUGGUCACACUCGACCAAACCCACCAAGUCGUAAAGUAUUAGAAAAUAUCACUCUUAUCAUGACAAUUUGUCAAUAAGAUACGGAAUUGAGGAUGUGAAAUAAAGUUCGAAAAGAAGAAAAAAGUUAGGAUAAGAUAAUAGAAAAUAAGCAAAAAGUAAGAAGCUUUUCCUGUUGCAAUUAUUUUUUUAUUUUAAAAAAUAUAAAGUAAUAUGCCCAAAAAGCAAAAAAAAAAAAAAAAAAAAAUUAGUCAAAAAGCCUGGUUGAAAAUUUUGCUUCAUAGAUUGGCGUGACGGCAAUAGUUGUGAGUUAAUUAAACGUGGGAUAAAAAUAAGAAAAUGACACUUAAAUUAUUCACUUCACGACAUAGCUACAUUCUUUUCUAUUGGUACUUCUUUUUCUCUCUCAUGCAUAAAAGGUGGGAAUCGAGAAUCGAUUCCCUAUGAAAAUUUGAUUUUAAAUUUUGUGAUGCUCAUGCCUUAUACAUAUGUAUUAUUGAUUGAGAAAUUCAACCAGAAGCAUUUAUUAGUUCAUGGAAGUGGUCUUUAAAAAAUGUCCAUGUCAAAGGUAAAGGGAAUUGUUCUCUUUAGUAUUAUUUGCUGACAGCGGUUCAACAUGCCUACUGUCCUUCUCCCCCAACUUGGACGUUUUUGUCCCAAAAUGCAUAUGGUGCAUGUGACUUGCCCGGUCCAUUUUGUUUAAAAAUAUCUUCUUGUGGUCCUCUACAACUGUGAGAAUUAUAUUCUUCACGUUAAACCAUCCUACUUGAUGGUGGCUUCAUCUGACCACUAAAGACUUUAUUGAUUGAAUUACACAGACCUCAUUGUAUAUAUAGGUAUAGGACCCAUGAUGAUUUUGACAUUUUAAGACUUUUUUUUUCUACUUUUUUGACACUUCGAAAUUUAUCCUACAACUUUUUUCUCAGAAGUAUUAUUUUUCAUUUUGAUACUUUUUUCUUGAAUGACUUCCAGAUAAAGUCUUCAUUGAAACAUAAAGCUUAGAAUAUUUGUACAUACACGAAACAUACCCCAAAUUUCAGAAAAGCUUGAAUUAGAUACAUCAGGAAAAUGGGUUCAAAGUUGGAUAGAAAGAGAUUCAAAACAAUAGGACCGGUCCUAUGAUUUAGCAGACAAAAUAUUCUGAAUUUCAGAAAAUUUACACUAAAUAUGAACACCUGCGUAAGUAAAACUUUCCAUAAGAAGUUCUGUAUUGCUCCUUUUAUGUCACACACCAUGUGUUUUGUCUUCUUCUGAUUUGAAAUAAACAUCAUGCCUUGUUGAACCGUAAGUUGAAAAGAGGAGACAUAGCUGGUGAGUCUAGUACUACUAUUUUUUACUGUUCACAUGUGAUUGGGCAGUGCUAGAUUUGGCUUUGUCGUUGCUCCAUCCAUGAAUGCACUGGAUCUGGUGGAGCCAACUAGAGCUUACGGGGGCCAUGUGCCUCUGAAAAUAUAAAAACAAAAAACACCUCCCGUACUUCUUGCAGUAGGGGGACUCCAACCCAUAAAAAACUACCUCCACUUCUUGGAAUUGAAGACUCGAACCCAAGACCGUUAUUGCACCUAACAAUGACAAGCUAGACCGUUGGACUAACAGAUGCAUGUGCUAAAAAGUGCUCCUUUGAACUGAACUGCCGGCUCCACAGUGAAAGGUAGAUUUUUAUUGUUUAUUCUUCACUAGGCAUGCGGUGUGAUUUGAAAUUGAGGUUAAUGUGCCAUUCUUUAUCCUUUUUAAAUUUAAUUUUCCUUUUUCAAUGUCUUUGUUUAUAUAUACUUAUUAAGUUGUUUUAAGAAAAAGUAAUUUUAAGGUAAUGAUUUUGUUUCCACCAACUUGUAAAUGUAACUGAGAUUGACGCAUUCAUUUGUUAUUAUGCUGUUACAUAGAAUCACAAGAUGGUGAUGGUGGAAGCAGAUGGAAACUAUAUUCAGCCAGUGGCAGUGGAUGACUUAGACAUUUACUCUGGAGAGAGCUACUCUGUUUUGAUCCACACUGACCAAGACCCCUCCAAGAACUACUGGAUUUCAGUUAGUGUAAGAGGAAGAGAGCCCAAGACUCCUCAAGGCCUCACCAUUCUCAACUACCAAACAACUUCAGCUUCAAAGCUCCCAACAUCUACACCUCCAGUGUCUCCUCUUUGGAAUGACUACAACCACAGCAAAUCUUUCUCCAACAAAAUCCUGGCCCUCAUGGGCUCCCCCAAGCCUCCAACCACCUACAACCGCAGAAUCAUCCUCCUCAACACUCAAAACACUAUCAAUGGAUUCACCAAAUGGGCUAUCAAUAAUAUAUCCCUAACAUUGCCUCCAACUCCUUAUUUGGGUGCCAUUAAGCAUCGUUUGAGCAACGCUUUCGAUCAGAAGAGUCCACCAGAGAACUUUCCCAACGAUUAUGAUGUGAUGAAACCUCCAACAAACACUAACUCGACAUAUGGGAAUGGGGUGUACAUGCUUGAGUUUAGGACAACGGUCGACGUGAUUCUUCAAAAUGCCAAUGCAUUAGCAACAGGUGUCAGUGAAAUACACCCUUGGCACCUGCAUGGUCAUGAUUUUUGGGUGUUGGGAUAUGGAGAAGGAAAGUUUAGGGAAAAGGAUGCGAAGAGGUUUAACUUAAAGAAUCCACCAUUGAGGAAUACUGCAGUGAUAUUCCCUUUCGGAUGGACAGCUCUUAGGUUUGUGGCGGAUAAUCCUGGGGUUUGGGCAUUUCACUGCCACAUUGAGCCUCAUUUGCAUAUGGGAAUGGGAGUGGUCUUUGCCGAAGGUGUUCAUCUGGUCAAAGAUGUACCAAACCAUGCUCUUGCUUGUGGCUUGACCGGGAAAAUGUUGAUGAGUAACUACAGUCACCACUGAGAAUAGCUAGCUGGCAACCUAGCUGAAGCUAUCUUCAAUUUUUGUGUGGUACAUACAUGCAAUUAAAAGCCUAUUUAUUUAGUUGGAAAACUGAGAACCAAAUUCUAUUUGAAGAGAGAUUUAGUCUUGUGUUUGGUUUCUUAUGUUUUGGCAAUGGUUGUGAUAUUUAAUGUAUGACAAGUAAAUUUUCCACAAUUGCACUUUGAAUUACUAUAAAACUAGAUUCCCAUCUCGUUUAUAGGGGUUGAAGUAGGACUGAUUCAUGAGAUCAACUUACAUGCUCAAUCCAUUCAAAUAGGGUGUGUUAGCAUGAAUAGCCAUGUGUUGAGUGGCAAUUGAUAUGGUCUGGAUUUAGGAGUCCUUCGAGAGUGAUAUUCAUAAAAGUGCUUUCAGUAUGUAGCGUUUUUUGUAAUGGUAUAUAUAGCAAAAAAAAAAAAAAGUGCUUUAGUAUUUUAGAAGUACAUAACAAGUGCUAAUCCAAAAAUUACUUAAAAUUUUAAAAGUGAUUUUAAUAACAUUGAUAAAUGUCUAAUAUUUAAAAGAAAAACCUUUUUGGCUGCAUUUAGUAGGUAGGGUUAAAUGGUGGGCUAGGAUUUUUUUUUUUUUUUUUUGAUAGAUAAACAGUCAAAUAUAUUAGAAGAGGCUAAAAAAGCCGCAUGUAUACAGGGGGUAUACUAAACAGCCCCAAAAGAGGCUGGAACAUCAACAAAAAAGGUUAAAAACCUCACCCACCCUCAAGUGGUCCCAAGCCACUCCAAAAAGCCUAACAGAGAGUAGGUUUCCUCACCAAUGUACACCUUAGCCCAACCCCACAAAUUACAAACAAAAGAAUUCUUGAAUUUCUAAAUAUCUAAAGACCCUCCCCUAAACACUAUCCUAUUCCUUUCCUUCCAAACCGUCCAAAAAAUGCACAGCGGUAUGGAAUUCCAUAUUUUUUUUCUUUUUUUUCCCACAAAAGAACCCCUCCAACUAUGAAGCACCUCUAUAACCGACUCUGGGAACACCCAUUGAACUCCGAAAAUGACAAGGGUAAUCUCCCAAAUAGUUUUAACCACUGUACAAUGUAAGAGAAUAUGAUUCGCAUUUUCCUCUUCGCAUCCACAUAAAUAACACCGAUUAGGUAGCUGCCAUCCCCUUCUUUGAAGCUUAUCCAAAGUGAGGAUCUUCCCCCACGCUGCCUCCCAAGCAAAAAAAGACACUUUUGUUGGAACCCUAUCCAUCCAAAUGCGUCUAUUCGGAAAAGCACCAACUGAGUAGCCGCUCAAACUUCUGUAGGCCCCCUUGGCCCCAAAAACGUCGUUGCCUUCCCGCUUCCAUCUCACUGAGUCCUCCUCCUGAGAAAUCCUGAAAUCCUUCAGAAGAUUCAGCAUUUCUCCUAUCUGAUCUAUCUCCCAAUCAUUGAAAUCUCUAGCCAAACUGAGAUUCCACCCUCCUUGCCCCAAACUAGAAUCCCACACUUCGCAAACUUUGGCAUUCUUAUGACCCGCCAAGGUAAACAACUGAGGAAAAGUUUGAGAAAGCGCCUCAUUGCCACACCACUUAUCCAUCCAAAACAAAACUCUAUUCCCCUUCCCAACCUUAAGGUCCAUGCUCUCCCAACACCACUCCGCCUCUUUCAUUAUCUCCUUCCACAACCCCACCCCAUAAGGCCCACAAACUUCCUUAGUCCUCCACCCACAUCCCUCUUGACCAUAUUUCACCCCUAUCGCCUUUUUCCAUAGGUUAUCCUUCUCAUAGGCAUAUCUCCAUACCCAUUUGCCCAACAAUGUUUUGUUCAACAAAUCUAUCUUUCGGAUGCCUAAUCCCCCCUCCUCCUUAGGGCUGCAAACCACUUGCCAAUUAAUCAAAUGAACUUUCCCCUCCAAGCUUCCUCCCCCCCACAAGAAAUCUCUUUGGAUUUUUUCAAUCCUUUUUGCCACCACCUUAGGAAUUCGAAUAAGUGAAAGGAGGUAGAUGGGUAUGCUGGCCAAGGUGCUCUUAAUAAGAGUAAUUCUUCCCCCCUUGGAGAUAUAUUGCCUUUUCCACUGGGCCAAUCUUCUUCUCAUUCUCUCUUCCACCCCAUCCCAAGAAGAGGCGUUUUUAUGAUUGGCUCCAAGGGGCAGCCCCAAGUAAACAGCGGGUAAAGCCCCCAAUUUACAACCCAGCUCAGCCGCCAAUUCCUCCAUCCCAUCCACUUCCCCCACCGGAAUAAGGACACUCUUAGCCAGAUUAAUUCUCAAGCCGGAGGCAGCCUCAAACCACGCCAAAAUCCAGCUUAGAUUGGUCAGUUGCUCUCUUCUAGCUUUGCAAAAAAUUAGAGUGUCGUCAGCAAAGAGGAGGUGCGAAACAGUCAGCUCAUCCCCCCCUCUCCCCCGCAUCCUACAGCCUGAAAUAAAGCCCCCUUCACCAGCCCGUCUAAUCAUGGUGCUAAGCACUUCCAUACCCAAAACAAAAAGAUAAGGAGAGAGGGGAUCUCCNNNNNNNNNNNNNNNNNNNNNNNNNNNNNNNNNNNNNNNNNNNNNNNNNNNNNNNNNNNNNNNNNNNNNNNNNNNNNNNNNNNNNNNNNNNNNNNNNNNNUUUUUUUUUUUUUUUCCCACAAAAGAACCCCCUCCAAUUAUGAAGCACCUCUAUAACCGACUCUGGGAACACCCAUGAAACUCCGAAAAUGACAAGGGUAAUCUCCCAAAUAGUUUUAACCACUGUACAAUGUAAGAGAAUAUGAUUCACAUUUUCCUCUUCGCAUCCACAUAAGUAACACCGAUUAGGUAGCUGCCAUCCCCUUCUUUGAAGCUUAUCCAAAGUGAGGAUCUUCCCCCACGCUGCCUCCCAAGCAAAAAAAGACACUUUUGUUGGAACCCUAUCCAUCCAAAUGCGUCUAUUCGGAAAAGCACCAACUGAGUGGCCGCUCAAACUUCUGUAGGCCCCCUUGGCCCCAAAAACGCCGUUGCCUUCCCGCUUCCAUCUCACUGAGUCCUCCUCCUGAGAAAUCCUGAAAUCCUUCAGAAGAUUCAGCAUUUCUCCUAUCUGAUCUAUCUCCCAAUCAUUGAAAUCUCUAGCCAAACUGAGAUUCCACCCUCCUUGCCCCAAACUAGAAUCCCACACUUCACAAACUUUGGCAUUCUUAUGACCCGCCAAGGUAAACAACUGAGGAAAAGUUUGAGAAAGCGCCUCAUUGCCACACCACUUAUCCAUCCAAAACAAAACUCUAUUCCCCUUCCCAACCUUAAGGUCCAUGCUCUCCCAACACCACUCCGCCUCUUUCAUUAUCUCCUUCCACAACCCCACCCCAUAAGGCCCACAAACUUCCUUAGUCCUCCACCCACAUCCCUCUUGCCCAUAUUUCACCCCUAUCGCCUUUUUCCAUAGGUUAUCCUUCUCAUAGACAUAUCUCCAAACCCAUUUGCCCAACAAUGUUUUGUUCAACAAAUCUAUCUUUCGGAUGCCUAAUCCCCCCUCCUCCUUAGGGCUGCAAACCACUUGCCAAUUAAUCAAAUGAACUUUCCCCUCCAAACUUCCUCCCCCCCACAAGAAAUCUCUUUGGAUUUUUUCAAUCCUUUUUGCCACCGCCUUAGGAAUUCGAAUAAGUGAAAGGAGGUAGAUGGGUAUGCUGGCCAAAGUGCUCUUAAUAAGAGUAAUUCUUCCCCCCUUGGAGAUAUAUUGCCUUUUCCACUGGGCUAAUCUUCUUCUCAUUCUCUCUUCCACCCCAUCCCAAGAAGAGGCGUUUUUAUGAUUGGCUCCAAGGGGCAGCCCCAAGUAAACAGCGAGUAAAGCCCCCAAUUUACAACCCAGCUCAGCCGCCAACUCCUCCAUCUCAUCCACUUCCCCCACCGGAAUAAGGACACUCUUAGCCAGGUUAAUUCUCAAGCCGGAGGCAGCCUCAAACCACGCCAAAAUCCAGCUUAGAUUGGUCAGUUGCUCUCUUCUAGCUUUGCAGAAAAUAAGAGUGUCGUCAGCAAAGAGGAGGUGCGAAACAGUCAGCUCAUCCCCCCCUCUCCCCCGCAUCCUACAGCCUGAAAUAAAGCCCCCUUCACCAGCCCGUCUAAUCAUGGUGCUAAGCACUUCCAUACCCAAAACAAAAAGAUAAGGAGAGAGGGGAUCUCCUUGCCGCAGCCCCUUUGAGUUCGAAAAGAAACCAGCUGGAACCCCAUUGAUUAAUAUAGAGAAUUUGGCGGUAGAAAUACACCACCUCAUCCAUUCCUCCCACCGAGACCCAAAUCCCAUCUUCCGAAGAACCUUCAUAAGGAAGUUCCAAUUGAUACUAUCAUAAGCUUUUUCAAUGUCCAACUUACAUAUCAACCCUUUCUCUUUUCUUUUAUACCAAUAAUCAAUCACCUCAUUAGCUACUAGAGAAGCAUCCAAAAUCUGUCUCCCUCUCACAAAGGCGUUUUGGUCAACUGAGACCACUCUGUCCAGCACUUUCUUUAGCCUAUUUGCUAGGACUUUGGCUAAAAGUUUAUACAAACUCCCAAGCAAACUAAUUGGCCUAAAGUCCCCCAAGUCAUCAGCUCCUCCUUUCUUGGGAAUAAGGACCAAAAAGGUGGUAUUAAGAGACUUGGCAAAGGAUUCAUACUCAAAGAAUUCCUUAAACAGUUUCAUCACCUCCUCCUUCACCACAUCCCAGCAAUCUUGCCAAAAGGCCAUUGUGAACCCAUCCGGACCUGGAGCUUUAUCACCCCUCAUCUCCAUUAGUGCAAAAUGAAUUUCCUCCUCAGAGAAGGGCACCUCCAAAUUUUCAGCUUCCCGGGAAUUAAGCUGUUUGAGCUGCAGGCCCUCAAUAUCUGUUCUCCACCCCGGCUCUUCUGAAAGUAAAUUCUGGAAAGCAUUCACUAUCCCCUCCCUCACCUCUUGAUCCUCAGUCAGCAACUCCCCAUUAAUUGUAAUCCUAUCCAAAGAAUUAUUCCUGCGAUGAGCAUUGGCCAUACGAUGAAAAUAACCGGUAUUCCUAUCCCCUUCCUUUAGCCACAGCUCCCUAGAUUUCUGCCUCCACUGAAUUUCCUCCAUUAGCACCCAUUUAUAAAAGACAUGGCUAGGAUUUUGAAAAAUUAUCAACUACUUUGGUAUUGAUGCAAGCAAGAAACAAAGGUAAUGUGUACAACAACAAAGAAAUGAAGAAGUUUCUUAUUUUCUAUAUCCAAAAAUGUAUAGGCAGGUGAGUAUUUAUAUACAAAAAACUUAGCAAAAUGAUAGCUGAAAAAUAACAAACUACAAACUAAAAAACUCAUUGCUAACUAACUAAAAUUAAGUUGCGACUUAACUACUAACUUUCUGUACAUCCUCCCUGCAAGUUGGAGCUUGGUGAAAAUCAAACAAGCCUUACUUGGACAACAAAAAUGAAAAAGUAGGAGCAGAUAAAGCUUUUGUGAAUAUGUUUGCAAUGUGAAGCUUUGAAGAAAUGUGAUGAGGUAAAAUAAAUCCUUGCUUGAAUUUAUCUUGAACCAAGUGACAAUCAAUCUCCAAAUGUUUGGUACGAUCUAAAAUACAAGAUUAGUUGUAAUGUGGAGAGUUGCAUGGUUGUCACACUAAGGAGGAAUAGAGAGAGAAGGAAGAAAACCAAAAUCUUGUAAGAGAUAAGAUAUCCAUUGCAAUUCACAAACAGUGGAAACCAUGCUUCUAUAUUUAGCUUUAGCAGAAGAACGGGACACAGUAGUUUGUUUCUUGGUUUUCCAAGAAAUCAAAGUUGAUCCAAAGAAAAUACAAUAACCAGUAAGAGACCUUCUAGUAUCAAUGCAAGAGGCCCAAUCAACAUCACAAUAAGCUUGAAGCUUAAAAGAAUUACUAGAAAGGAAAAAUAUUCCUUCAAAGUGACAACCCUUGAGAUAGUGUAGAGCAUGUAAGGCAGCAUCCCAAGAGCUUGGCAAGGAGCAUGAACAAAUUGACUUAGUUGUUGAACAACAUAAGUAAAAUCAGGUCAAGUAAAUCCCAAAUAGAGAAGACCUCCAAUUAUUCUUCUAUAUUUGUCUAGAUUGGAGAGUAAAGAGCCCAUAGUUGUAGAAAAUUUGUGGCCUGGAGGAAGUGGAGUAGUAGCAGGUUUGACGCCUAAUAAACCUGUGUCCUUAAGAAUGUCCAUAACAUACUUUCUUGAUUGAUAUAAGUACCAGUAGUAGAACGAGCUAUCUCAAGACUAAGAAAAUACUUGGCAUAACCAAGAUCUUUAACUGUAAAUUGAGAAUAUAGAAAUUGCUUAACAGCAACAAUAUCAUCCUCAUUAGUUACUAUGACUAAAACAUCAUCCACAUAGAUAAUCAAGGCUAGAAAAACAUGGUCUGAUUGUUUGACAAACAAACAAUUAUCAUGAACUAACUGAUGAAAACCAAAUUGUUUCAAUUUUAUAGUAAAUUCAUAAUUCCACUACCUAGAUGCCUGUUUAAGAUCAUAUAGAGAUUGUUUAAGUUUACAUACUUGACUUGGUAUGGCAUUAGUAUAACCUUCUAGAGGCUGCAUAUAGACUUUUUUCAUCCAAAUAAUCAUGCAAGAAAACAUUGUUGAUAUCUAAUUGAUGAAUUGGCCAAGACUUUGUAGUAGCAAUAGCUAGUAACAACUUGAUGAUAACAAGCUUAGCAACAGGUGAAAAAUUGUCAAAAUAAUCUAUCCAUUCUAUUUUAUUAUAACCUUUUGCCUCUAGUCUUGCUUUAAACAUAUCAACACUACCAUCAGGUUUAAGUUUAACCUUGUAGACCCAUUUGGAACCAAUGGCUUUCUUACCCACAGGUAAACUUUUUAAAUCCCAAGUAUGAUUAUCCUCUAGAGCAGCAAGCUCUUUGUUCAUUCCUACAACCCAUUUUGCAUGAACGCUAGCCUGUUUAUAAGAAAUUGGUUCGGGAAAAGCUAUAAGAAGUAAUGAAUGGAAAAAUGUUGGGUGUUUAGGAAGAAGUAGGAUCAAGAGUUGUGAUUGAAGAAGCAUUGUUAGUAGAUGAAGUAAUAGAAUCUAUAAUAUUUGAAACAAAGUCAUUCAACCAAGUUUGUUUCCUUUUAACUUGAGUACUGUGCCUUGGAGAUAAAACAAGAGGAAUAGAUAUAGAAGUAGAGAGCAAGACAGGUAGAGUAGAUAUAGAUGAAUCAUAAUGUGUAGAGGAAUGAGAAAUAGAAAGAACAUCACUCCUUAUUUAGGUACCUAAAUAAUCCUCCUCAACACUCAAAACACUAUCAAUGGAUUCACCAAGUGGGCUAUCAAUAAUAUAUCCCUAACAUUGCCUCCAACUCCUUAUUUAGGUGCCAUUAAGCAUCGUUUGCAAAACGCUUUCGAUCAGAAGAGUCCACCAGAGAACUUUCCCAACGAUUAUGAUGUGAUGAAACCUGCAACAAACACUAACUCGACAUAUGGGAAUGGGGUGUACAUGCUAGAGUUUAGGACAACGGUCGACGUGAUUCUUCAAAAUGCCAAUGCAUUAGCCACAGGUGUCAGUGAAAUACACCCCUGGUCAUGAUUUUUGGGUGUUGGGAUAUGGAGAAGGAAAGUUUAGGGAAAAUGAUGCAAAGACGUUUAACUUGAAGAAUCCACCAUUGAGGAAUACUGCAGUGACAUUCCCUUUCGCAUGGACAGCUCUUAGGUUUGUGGCGGAUAAUCCUGGGGUUUGGGCAUUUCACUGCCACAUUGAGCCUCAUUCGCAUAUGGGAAUGGGAGUGGUCUUUGCUGAAGGUGUUCAUCUG
rnacentral:lncRNA from 1 species